AGCAUAAAAAGUAUUAGAGGCACUGCCUGCCCAGUGACAUAAGUUAAACGGCCGCGGUAUCCUGACCGUGCAAAGGUAGCAUAAUCACUUGUUCCUUAAAUAGGGACUUGUAUGAAUGGCUUGACGAGGGUUUAACUGUCUCUUACUCCCAAUCAGUGAAAUUGACCUUCCCGUGAAGAGGCGGGAAUAUAAUAAUAAGACGAGAAGACCCUAUGGAGCUUAAAUAUUCUAGUCUAACAUUCACUCCAUUUCUACCCACGGGCAAUAAAACCUAUGUAAACAGACUACAAAUUUUGGUUGGGGUGACCUCGGAGUACAAACUAACCUCCGAAUGAUAUUAAUCUAGACUACGACCCGUCUAAAUUUUUAUUCAUAAAUUGACCCAAAAAUAUUUGAUCAACGGAACAAGUUACCCUAGGGAUAACAGCGCAAUCCUACUCAAGAGUUCAUAUCGACAGUUAGGGU
rnacentral:rRNA from 1 species